rnacentral:rRNA from 1 species
GAUGAACGCUGGCGGCGUGUCUAAUACAUGCAAGUCGAGCGAACAGACGAGGAGCUUGCUCCUCUGACGUUAGCGGCGGACGGGUGAGUAACACGUGGAUAACCUACCUAUAAGACUGGGAUAACUUCGGGAAACCGGAGCUAAUACCGGAUAAUAUAUUGAACCGCAUGGUUCAAUAGUGAAAGACGGUUUUGCUGUCACUUAUAGAUGGAUCCGCGCCGCAUUAGCUAGUUGGUAAGGUAACGGCUUACCAAGGCAACGAUGCGUAGCCGACCUGAGAGGGUGAUCGGCCACACUGGAACUGAGACACGGUCCAGACUCUUACGGGAGGCAGCAGUAGGGAAUCUUCCGCAAUGGGCGAAAGCUUGACGGAGCAACGCCGCGUGAGUGAUGAAGGUCUUCGGAUCGUAAAACUCUGUUAUUAGGGAAGAACAAAUGUGUAAGUAACUAUGCACGUCUUGACGGUACCUAAUCAGAAAGCCACGGCUAACUACGUG